CCUUAGAUGUUCUGGGCCGCACGCGCGCUACACUGACGGGGCCAACGAGUACUAUCCUUGGCCGAAAGGUCUGGGUAAUCUUGUUAAACCCCGUCGUGCUGGGGAUAGGGCAUUGCAAUUAUUGCCCUUCAACGAGGAAUUCCUAGUAAGCGCAAGUCAUCAGCUUGCGUUGAUUACGUCCCUGCCCUUUGUACACACCGCCCGUCGCUACUACCGAUUGAAUGGCUCAGUGAGGCCUUCGGAUUGGCUCAGGGAGAGGGGCAACCCUCACCCAGAGCCGAGAAGUUGGUCAAACUUGGUCAUUUAGAGGAAGUAAAAGUCGUAACAAGGUUUCCGUAGGUGAACCUGCGGAAGGAUCAUUAAAGUAAAGGCGUCCCGGUGGCGCACACGACACGUACGGCCGACCCCCGCGUAAAUUCUGUACACCGCCCUGGGAAGGGGAGAGGCCGGCGGACGCCAAAGGCGUUCGCCGACCCCCCCCUGCCCACGGAGGUCAGUGGCGGUGGCCGGUUGACGUAUCAACCCAAUGUGAAACCCCCAAGUUGCUUCGGCAGCUCGCCCCCCGACCGGGGGGCGGUCAGCCUGCCGACGGCACCAAACCAAAACCCAUCAGUGUAAUUUAGCAAUAAUUUCACGUCUGAGCGCGAAGUCGAAUUGACUAUAAAACUUUCAACAACGGAUCUCUUGGUUCCCGCAUCGAUGAAGAACGCAGCGAAACGCGAUAGUUAAUGUGAAUUGCAGAAUUCAGUGAAUCAUCGAGUCUUUGAACGCACAUUGCGCCUUUUGGUAUUCCGAGAGGCACGUCUGUUCGAGCGUCAGUAAAACCCUUCCGGACCGGCGGUUUUUGGACCGCCUGGCCUCGGGACCCUGGCGUGGGGAAGUUGGACCCUCACCGGUCCGUCCCCCGCUUAAACGCGGAGAAAGCUAGCGGGCACAGGCCUCACGUAUUGCGACAACUCGUAAAAUUUAUAGGUUGUUACGGCUAACAGUGGACCUUGCCCCGCCUCCUUAAAACCCACGGGGACAACCUUCGCGGUUUCCCCCCUGACUCUUGACCUCGGAUCAGAUGAGGAUACCCGCUGAACUUAAGCAUAUCAAUAAGCGGAGGAAAAGAAACCAACAGGGAUUGCCUCAGUAGCGGCGAGUGAAGCGGCAAAAGCUCAGAUUUGAAAUCCGGUGCGCUCAGCGCCCCCGAGUUGUAAUCUGGAGAGGAUGCUUCGGCGAGAACCCCGGCCAAAGUCCCUUGGAACAGGGCGUCUUAGAGGGUGAGAACCCCGUACCCGGCAGGCGGUUUUAGCCAUGUGUAGCUCCUUCGACGAGUCGAGUUGUUUGGGAAUGCAGCUCAAACUGGGUGGUAAAUUCCAUCUAAAGCUAAAUAUUGGCGGGAGACCGAUAGCGCACAAGUAGAGUGAUCGAAAGAUGAAAAGCACUUUGAAAAGAGAGUUAAAAAGUACGUGAAAUUGUUGAAAGGGAAGCGCUUGCCAUCAGAAUCGGUGCCGGUCGAUCAACGUUCCUUCUGGUUCGUGCACUCGUCCGGUUUCCGUGCCAGCAUCGGUUGGCGCGGCGGGACAAAGGCCGCGGGAAAGUGGCUCCCCUCGGGGAGUGUUAUAGCCCGCGGUGCAAUACCGCCAGCGCCGACCGAGGACCGCGCUUCGUGCAAGGAUGCUGGCCUAAUGGUUGUAAGCGAC
rnacentral:rRNA from 1 species